GUGCCGUUAGUUCAGUUGGUUAGAGCAGCCGCCUCAUAAGCGGCAAGUUGUGGGUUCAAAUCCCACACGGCACA
rfam:Dorea formicigenerans CAG:28 genomic scaffold, scf250